AGAAUCAGCAGCCAGAACAGAGAAAGGAGAUAGAGGAAGAGAGAAUGUAUAGAGAAAGGCUAGCGCUUCCUUGCUGGUGUCCAGGGCCUUUGUGAAUAAACCAUGGGAUGUAUCGGCUCCCGAACCCUCACCUCAGAUGGAGUUCCUGUCCAGAAGGAUGGGGAACAGCAUGGCCGAACAGACUUUUCAUGGGAUGGAAUCAAUUUGUCCAUGGAGGACACCACCUCAAUCCUUCCUCGGCUGAAGAAACGGAACUCCAAUGCCUAUGGAAUCGGUGCUCUGGCUAAGUCCUCUCUGACAGGUGUGUCAGGAGUGAGUCGCUCUAUGAAGGACAAGGUGACAAAACCGACAGCAAUGGCUCAGGGGCGAGUGGCACACAUGAUUGAGUGGCAGAGCUGGGGCAUGCAGACAGUGGGUGUGGGGGGCAGAGGAGCGGGACGCACCUCGAGUCUGCACCUACAACAGGAACGCAAGCUGGAAAAUGAUGCAUACAGUGACCUUAGUGAUGGAGAGAAGGAAGCUCGCUUUGCUGCAGGUGUGCUUCAACAGUUUGCAAUUUCUGAGGCGACACUGCUGGCCUGGAGUUCAAUGGAUGGGGAAAGCACAAGCAUUGGAUCCAAUCAGGGGAGUGUAGCCCACCUAAGUGAGGCCAACCAGGAAAGCAUCACCAGCCGAGACCAGAUGCACCAUUCCUCUGCAGAAGUGUGGCCCCACAAUUAUGUCUCCCAGGGUCUUUACUGCCUUUCUUCCUCUGAUGCGUGGGAGCCAAUUAGUAAUGAACAGUCAGGUGUGGCAUCUCCUGCCACUGGUUCAUAUGUCAUGGCAGUCGGGAAUGAAGGUGGCUAUGAUCCAAACACAGCAACUCACUUUCUGUCCCAACAACAACAACAGCAUCAGUAUCAGAACCAGUUACAGCAGAUCCAGCACCUACAGCAUAUCCACCAAUACCAGCAGCAACAGCUUCUACAGUAUCAACAACAGCAACAGAUCUUGGAGCAAAGACUACAGAGUGCCACUCAUUCUUUACAAGCUACUCCGAACAGCACUAUCCACAGCCUCCCUCCCCUCACUCAUCCUCCACUGGUGGAUCUGUGGGGCACACCACAGACUGAGGUCUACCAGCCAGACACGGUGGGCUACAUGGGGAUGCCUGUAGAUGGAAAUCUAACAGUCCCCACAGAGGAUGUGAUAACAGAACAUUCAUCUUUACUGGACGACGAACAGGAUGGGGAGAUUAAAGUGGAAGAGGUUACGCUAUGUAUGGAACCAGAAGCAGUGACACUAAUUCCAUCUCCAGUGGCUCAGAAAGAGGAAGUGACCUCAGCAGGAGGAAGCAGUCCAGGUCAAUCCUCUGGUGAAUUUAUCACUGAGAGAAAGACGUCUGAUGUCUCACCAUCAGUAAUAGAAGAGCUUGAAGAAAAGGAAGAAUCAGAAUCUUCACCCACAGACACAAAGGCAACCAACUGAGUGACCGGCAAGAGACUUGAGCUGCUUUUAAAAGACAUUUCAAUCAGCAUAACAAAACAAUAUAAACUUCUUUUUUUCAGGAAUCAAACACCAUUGUUAUGGAAUUCAAGUGACCCAAAAUGGAAAAUCAGAGCUGAAAGUUAAUGCACUUGUGUGAACAUGAUUUUUUAGGCCUUAUUAUGUGGAUGUCUGAAAAAUGAAGACAGAAUGGAGGUUUUUGACUGGGAAAGAAGAGAAAUGAGGAAAGUCUCACUCAAGUUUGAAUGGAGCGAUAAGAGAUGUCGGCGAGAAUACAACAAGACCUGGAUGCAUAUACUGUAAAUAAACGUUAUCAAGGAAAUAUGUCUCUGCAGAGUGAGAAGGGAAAUGGACUUUGAGUAAAGUGACCUCAUGAACAACUCAGGCCAUUUGGAAUUUUGAACUGCACAGGCGUCUUCCUGCUCGUCAUGGGUACUGAUUAUUACAGUUACCAUGACAUUACAAACUGUGCAUUGACUGUGUGUUUGUAUGUAAACAGACAUGAAGCAUAUGCACCCCAAAGUAGGAUUAGUUUGGUUCAGAAAGAAAAGCUACAACAUUCUGCAUUGUGAUGUCAUGCAUGAAUCUCCAAGGAUUAAAAAAAAACAGGGAUAAAGGAAAACACUGUCUACCGUUAAUUACAACAGUAUACAGCUUUGGGUGUUGUACACAGAUUGUGUGUGAUACCAGCUUGGUGGUGAGAGGCAAUAGCAUUAAUAGCUAUAUGAAGUAUGUUGACUUGAAUGAAUUUAUUUAUUGAUCGAUUGUUUAUGCAAUGUUGGGACAAUGUUUAUUUUUCUACAGAAUUGUGUGUACUCCCUCCUCUAUAUGUUGAGGUGCAUAUUAUUUUACUGCGAGGCUCCUGAGGAAGGUCUAACUAAUUUUUGAGUACUGCAUCAUACAUGUUAUAUUGUAUAUAACAUCACUAAAACUGACAUUAUAAUUACAUGUAGCCAACCAUGGAACUACAGCACAAGUGCUACUUCAUUGUGGUCUUACAUUAUGUUAACACUUUUGACCUCCAAAAGCUGCUCACGUUGAAAUAAUAUGUGCCCAUUUAUUUAUUGAAGAAUUAGGCUAUAUAGGGGAGGGAUUUAACUUUGCAACCUGUAUGAUAUACAUUUGUUAUUCUGAGAUAAAUGCAUCAUUGGUUGUAAUUGUAUCACUCUGGUUUGCUAAAACACAUCACAUAUUGUUAUCCAUUUUCUUCAGGUUUUUCUGAAACAUGUUUAUACUAACUGGAGAUUAUAAAUCAUUUAAGCAAUAGAAAAUAGUUCAUUCAUCAUUUGUUAAGCACUAAAGCUCAGGUCAGAUCACAUGAUUUUUAUUGUCUGGUACGAAAGACUAUAUCAGAUUAUGCUAUGUUUUUUUCUUGAUGAAAUCUUGAAUUGUCAUGGUUAACAAAUGAGCCAGACUACUUGUUUCUUCACAGUCAGUCAUCCUGUGACGUCUACGAUGUGCUUUAUUUCUCAAAGCAGCCACAAGUGUUGCUAUAACAAUAUUUCUUAUCUCAAUUGAUUUGAUUUUGAUAGAUUUUUUUUUCAAUCUUAUUUAAAUCUCAAUAAACACUGAUGCUUGCAUACAACUAAUAACUUCAUUAUUUAAAGACAUUCCUUAUGACAUGUAUAGGAUCAAACUUACGAUUCCUUUUUAAUAUAAAGAUAUUUUCUUUGAAAUCUAAAUGUAUAUUUUCCUACUAUGGGUUUCUUGUUAAACACUCUCUUACCUGAACUUGCCGCGAGUGAGACAGAUAAAAUGAUAGCACAUAAGCAGCAGCAAAGAAAAAUUAGAUGCUCAAGACAUAAUCUUUAAAAUAAUGACAUAUUUAAAAAAAUUAUCAAAUAUAUGACAGAGAUUUGUGAAACAAUCACAGUGAAGCAUUUAUUAAAACUGUAUUUUCCUCAGAGCAAAUGAUCCACCCGUAUAGUUGAGUAGAGGAGGGGCAAAAACAAACGUAUAUUUUUCUUGGAAAAAAAGACUUUUUCGUUAGCUAUAUUUUUUAACUUAAUUUUAAUGUAUCUUUUGUAAUUUAAAAACAAGAAUAACUCAUAACAUUUGAGGAAACUUUUUGACUUCCAAACAAGUCCUCUAUAAACGCCAAAACACUAAUUGCAGUGAAAUUGUGUUGAUUUGUUAAAUAAAAUAAUAAUCUAGCCUAAAUAAAAAUAAAGUGAAAUAGUCACAGAUUCUGAGAAAUUGAUUUCCCUAAUAACAAAUUUGAAUAAGCAGGAAAUGCCUUUGCGAUUUAUUUGCAGCACUGAACAUGUUCCCAGAUUACCUUGGAAGAGAAAAUUUUGUUAAAAGGCUGAGAGAACUCAGAAACUAGUUGUGAGAGUGAAGAUGGUUGUGCCAAUCUAUCAGAUAAAACUGCUUAAAACAACUCAAUAUUUUAUAAAAGGUAGUUAAAGUUUGCAUAACCAAUGACUGAUUAUGUCACCCCAUGUCAUCCACGUGACAGAACUCGUUAUGAAGAAUGAGGAAAAAAUUAAACAUGCUUGACUAUCUGCAAUGGUGUUUUGAGGUGUCGCAGACAUAGUAUCGGUUGUCAUGAACUAUGCCAUAUUACAUGAUAAUAAACGAUUGAAUCUUGUGUCA